ACUGUAUGCUGAGAACUGAUAGCAAGCUGUACUUGUACAGUGAAGUGGCUGAUACCAUGCUUCCAGGAAAAGUCUCUAAGCUUCAGUUACAUAGGAAUCGUACCCGAAACCGACACAGGUGGUCAGGUCGAGUAGACCAAAGCGCUUGAGAGAACUCUGCUGAAGGAACUAGGCAAAAUGGUACCGUAACUUCGGGAGAAGGUACGCUCUUGACGGUGAAGUCCCUUGCGGAUGGAGCUAUUAGGAGUCGCAGAUACCAGGUGGCUGCAACUGUUUAUUAAAAACACAGCACUGUGCAAAAUCGUAAGAUGACGUAUACGGUGUGACGCCUGCCCGGUGCCGGAAGGUUAAUUGAUGGGGUUA
rnacentral:rRNA from 1 species